GAUGAACGCUAGCGGCAGGCUUAAUACAUGCAAGUCGAGGGACAGCACAGGUAGCAAUACUGGGUGGUAACCGGCAAACGGGUGCGGAACACGUACACAACCUUCCUUUAAGUGGGGGAUAGCCCAGAGAAAUUUGGAUUAAUACCCCGUAAUAUAGUUGAAUGGCAUCAUUUGAUUAUUAUAGCUACGGCGCUUAAUGAUGGGUGUGCGGCUGAUUAGAUAGUUGGCGGGGUAACGGCCCACCAAGUCUACGAUCAGUAGCUGAUGUGAGGGCAUGAUCCGCCACACGGGCACUGAGACACGGGCCCGACUACUACGGGAGGCAGCAGUAAGGAAUAUUGGUCAAUGUACGCAAGUCUGAACCAGCCAUGCCGCGUGAAGGAUUAAGGUCCUCUGGAUUGUAAACUUCUUUUAUUUGGGACGAAAAAGGGCCUUUCUAGGUCAACUGACGGUACCAGAUGAAUAAGCACCGGCUAACUCCGUGCCAGCCGCCGUCGUAAAAC
rnacentral:rRNA from 1 species